rnacentral:misc_RNA from 1 species
GGAGUGCAUAUUAUUUAUCCAUACUUAUAAGGUCCUAAACCAAACAUCUUAUAUAUUUACAAAAAGCAGGCAAGCUAAUUUUUCAUGCUAGCAUGACUUUGGCUGAAGAAACAACCCGCCAUCUGCUGUGAUCUGCCUGCUACUCCACAUCUUCCAUAUAUAAGAAAAGGCUCCUAACCUAGGUAAGUAUGUCAUGGCAGGAGCAAUAUGCUAAUCAAAUAAUCAUACCCUGCCACCAGUUUCCUCUAGAAGCACUCCCAGAGUCAUCUUCUGUCCCAUCUUUCUUGACCAUUGAGGUCAUAUUAGAGAUCUGGCUAUUCUGGGGAUGAUGAUAAAUGUCCUGACCACCAUAAUAGAUUGAUGAACUGAGAGGACAUGGCUGUACUCUUUGUUCCUGAUAAAAGGAAUUUGUAUCUCUACUUGGCACGUUCUGACCUUCACCCUGAUUGCUUUUAGAAAUUUCAUCUGAAAAUACAGCACGAUGACUCAGAGAGUUGUUUCAGACACCAAACUGAAUCUUAAAAAAAA